UGCUCACCUCAGUAGCACAUAUAUUAAAUUGGAAGGAUACAGAGAAGAUUAGCAUGGCCCCAGUGUAAGUAUAACAUGCAAAUUUGGAAAGUGUUCCAUAUUUUA